UACGAAGGGGGCUAGCGUUGCUCGGAAUCACUGGGCGUAAAGCGCACGUAGGCGGCUUUUUAAGUCAGGGGUGAAAUCCUGGAGCUCAACUCCAGAACUGCCUUUGAUACUGAGAAGCUUGAGUCCGGGAGAGGUGAGUGGAACUGCGAGUGUAGAGGUGAAAUUCGUAGAUAUUCGCAAGAACACCAGUGGCGAAGGCGGCUCACUGGCCCGGUAUUGACGCUGAGGUGCGAAAGCGUGGGGAGCAAACAGG
rnacentral:rRNA from 1 species